GACGAACGCUGGCGGCGUGCUUAACACAUGCAAGUCGAACGGAAAGGCCCUGCUUUUGUGGGGUGCUCGAGUGGCGAACGGGUGAGUAACACGUGAGUAACCUGCCCUUGACUUUGGGAUAACUUCAGGAAACUGGGGCUAAUACCGGAUAGGAGAUCCCGCUGCAUGGUGGGGGUUGGAAAGUUUCGGCGGUUGGGGAUGGACUCGCGGCUUAUCAGCUUGUUGGUGGGGUAGUGGCUUACCAAGGCUUUGACGGGUAGCCGGCCUGAGAGGGUGACCGGCCACAUUGGGACUGAGAUACGGCCCAGACUCCUACGGGAGGCAGCAGUGGGGAAUAUUGCACAAUGGGCGGAAGCCUGAUGCAGCAACGCCGCGUGCGGGAUGACGGCCUUCGGGUUGUAAACCGCUUUCGCCUGUGACGAAGCGUGAGUGACGGUAAUGGGUAAAGAAGCACCGGCUAACUACGUG
rnacentral:rRNA from 1 species